CGCCGCGGUUAUACGAGAGGCCCAAGUUGACGAAGCCCGGCGUAAAGAGUGGUUAAUAAGACAAAUACUAAAGCCGAACACCCUCAAGACCGUUAUACGUACCCGAGGGUAGGAAGACCUUUAACGAAAGUGGCUUUAAUUAAUAUGAACCCACGAAAGCUAGGAAA
rnacentral:rRNA from 1 species